UACGGAGGAUCCAAGCGUUAUCCGGAUUUAUUGGGUUUAAAGGGUGCGUAGGUGGCUUUUUUAAGUCAGGGGUGAAAGACGGUAGCUUAACUAUCGCAGUGCCUUUGAUACUGAAGAGCUUGAAUAAACUAGAGGUAGGCGGAAUGUGACAAGUAGCGGUGAAAUGCAUAGAUAUGUCACAGAACACCAAUUGCGAAGGCAGCUUACUAUGGUUUUAUUGACACUGAGGCACGAAAAGCGUGGGGGAUCAAACAGG
rnacentral:rRNA from 1 species